UUUGAUACAUGUGGAUGUGACAACUUUUUAUGCUCAAUUAAGUAUGUUAUGAUAAUGAAAUGCUCAUGUUUAUGUAUGCACAGUUGGACAUGUGAUCACUAAAACAUCCUGAUAAUAUGUUUCAUGGAGGAAAAGUUCCAGGAAUAGGAAAUUCAACCACAGGUAGGCUCUAGGGUUUAAAAAGGUUUCUAGAGUCAUAAACCCUAUUCAAGAAUAUUAUCGUC
rnacentral:lncRNA from 1 species